GGGGGUUUAGCUUAGUGGUAUAGCAUUUGCCUAGCAUGCAUGAGGCCUUGGGUUCAAUCCCCAACACCACCA
rnacentral:tRNA from 2 species